rnacentral:rRNA from 1 species
UACGGGGGGGGCAAGCGUUGUUCGGAAUUACUGGGCGUAAAGGGCGCGUAGGCGGUUGGAUAAGUCAGCUGUGAAAACCACGAGCUCAACUUGUGGCCUGCAGCUGAAACUGUCUGGCUAGAGUGUGGGAGAGGGAAGUGGAAUUCCUGGUGUAGCGGUGAAAUGCGUAGAUAUCAGGAGGAACACCGGUGGCGAAGGCGGCUUCCUGGACCACAACUGACGCUGAGGCGCGAAAGCUAGGGGAGCAAACAGG